UCUCCUGGAAACGGGUGGUAAUGCCGGAUGCUCCGACUCCUCGCAUGGGGUGUCGGGAAAGAUUCAUCGGUAUGGGAUGGGGUCGCGUCCUAUCAGGUAGUCGGCGGGGUAACGGCCCACCGAGCCUACGACGGGUAGCCGGCCUGAGAGGGCGACCGGCCACAUUGGGACUGAGAUACGGCCCAGACUCCUACGGGAGGCAGCAGUGGGGAAUAUUGCACAAUGGGCGCAAGCCUGAUGCAGCGACGCCGCGUGCGGGAUGACGGCCUUCGGGUUGUAAACCGCUUUUGAUCGGGAGCAAGCCUUCGGGUGAGUGUACCUUUCGAAUAAGCACCGGCUAACUACGUGCCAGCAGCCGCGGUAAUACGUAGGGUGCAAGCGUUAUCCGGAAUUAUUGGGCGUAAAGGGCUCGUAGGCGGUUCGUCGCGUCCGGUGUGAAAGUCCAUCGCUUAACGGUGGAUCUGCGCCGGGUACGGGCGGGCUGGAGUGCGGUAGGGGAGAC
rnacentral:rRNA from 1 species